UGUUACUGUUCAUAAUGUCAUAAACCUGUUGCUUUCAGACCACCCACCUGAAUAAACAACGGCCCCAUGGAAGUAUGAAGAUGGUGUGACAUGAAUUUGCCUGCCAUUCAAGACCAUGUUCUUCAUUAGGACAUGUUUCCUGUGCUAGCUAGCUAGCAUCAGUGUAAGAUACAAUUUGUAUGCAUGAUAUUAAUUUUUAAAAUUUUAAGUCAUUAUUCUUUAAGAUAUUUCAUUCCUGUCAAAGAUACCUAGUACUCUUAGAUUUAUGCAUUCAAUUAACAUAAAUAAUCAAAGAAUUUCUAAGAGAAUAAAAGUGAUUUUCUGUAAAUCCCUUUGGAUUUUAUAACAAGAAUCCUUUGCAAAGUACAUGUUCGCUGCUUCGGUAGAUAUUCUCUUAUGUGGAAAUGUUGUCUUUCGAAGAAAGAUAAAAUUUUAAUGUGGAACCAUAUCCAAUUUGUAGCAUGUAAUAACCUUUUUUGAAAUAAUCAAAAAGUAACUAAGAUUUUCUUUUUUUUGUGGAAGCUUUGAUAGCAAUACCUACCAAUAUAUUGGCAGUCAGCUAAUAAAAAUGAUUUUGUUAAAAAAUUCAUGUUUUAAAUAAUUUAGAAAUAGAUGUGAUGACUGAAUGAUA
rnacentral:lncRNA from 1 species